rnacentral:lncRNA from 1 species
AUUAUUAUUGAUGUUAUUCUUGUCUUCAAAAUAAUGCAAAUUGAACUCUUUCACGAGAAAAACCUCUUUUCUCUCUAGCUUCUCAUUUUCCGUGCAAACCCUAAACCUCAGCUUCCUUACCGCCGCCAUGGCUGGAGAUCCUUACCUCCGGCCACCGCCGCACCCACCCUGCCCACCUACCCCGCCCGUCCCUGACCCAUCCUCCUUUCCUCCCCUCCCUGCCUCCCCCAUUUCCCCCCCUUUUGCUCCCAUGUCUUUUUCAACUCACCACUCUCCUUGGAACCUUCCUCUUGUGAAUGCUCCAGGAUUUGGCUCCUCUGCUCUUGUUUCUGGUACCCCCAUUACUCUCCAGCUGGCAACAGCUGAAGGAGAUUCAAACAUUACUCAUGUAUCUACUGAACAUGCAGUUCCUACUAAUCCAGUUGUAAGUAGCGACCUAGGGAUUCCAGCUCCCACUUUGAAUUCCUCGAGUCCUCUACUCAGAAUUACUGACCCUUUUCCUCAAUCUCAGCCUCAACAAAACACUAUUGCUGGUGCCUCCCUAAACACUGCAGCCCCAUCCAUCGUCCCAGCUCCAACCGCCCCCACCUCUUCUUCAUCCAAAAACCCUGGAAACCAACCUUUCAAACCUCCUCCUGCAAACUGGGCAAAGAAUCUCCAACAAUCAACAGACAUAUCCCUAAAAAAGAUUGCUAACCCUUGUUUCUCUGCUGAGGAAAAGCCAAGGAUAAAAAUUCCAGAUUCGGUGUUCCAAAAAGGAGCAGAUCUACACCAAGACUUCAUCAUAGGAGUUUUCUUAGGGAAAACCCCUGCCUUUGCUCAAAUCCAGAGUGUCCUAACUCAUAUUUGGGGCCGUGGUAUGAAACUUGAGAUCCACCUACGACCAGAGACAAGAUCUAUGUUAGUAAGAAUUCCCAACUCAACAAUAAGAAAGAAAAUUGUGGAGCAGGAAUUCUCGCACAUAGGGAAUGUACUUUUCUAUGUUGCUCAAUGGUCUGCUACAGUCGCGCUCCAGCCUCCUACGUUCACUUAAAUCCUGUUAUGGGCUCACUUUAGAGGAAUCCCUUUUGACUUAUAUACUCAAGAAGGCCUCAGCAGAGUUGGUGACCUUCUAGGAUUCCCAAUAGAAGUAGAUGAAUUUACUAGGAGGAUG